AUUGAACGCUGGCGGCAGGCCUAACACAUGCAAGUCGAGCGGAAACGAUCCUAGCUUGCUAGGAGGCGCGAGCGGCGGACGGGUGAGUAACGCGUGAGAAUCUACCCAUGAGUGGGGGACAACCCGGGGAAACUCGGGCUAAUACCGCAUACGCCCUACGGGGUAAAGCAGGGGACCUUCGGGCCUUGCGCUAUUAGAUGAGCCUGCGUCGGAUUAGCUUGUUGGUGGGGUAAAGGCCUACCAAGGCGACGAUCCGUAGCUGGUUUGAGAGGACGAUCAGCCACACUGGGACUGAGACACGGCCCAGACUCCUACGGGAGGCAGCAGUGGGGAAUAUUGGACAAUGGGGGCAACCCUGAUCCAGCAAUGCCGCGUGUGUGAAGAAGGCCUGCGGGUUGUAAAGCACUUUCAGCAGCGAGGAAAGGGGUGUCGUUAAUAGCGCCAUCCUGUGACGUUAACUGCAGAAGAAGGACCGGCUAACUCCGUG
rnacentral:rRNA from 1 species